UUUUUCCCCUUUAAGAAAUACAAAAAGCACAUGUCUAUCUGUGUUCUGGGGUUUGGGCACAGACCUAUUUGAACGGCCUAAGCCUCCCAAAGGACUGUUGGGCUGUGAUAAGCGGUUUCUGGAAGCUGGGUAAAUACUCUCCACCUUCCUCUGUUGUCAGAAGCAGAUUUAUGUGGCCUUGUUUUCUCAGGCACUCUCAACCUACAUUUCAUUUCUAAUCCAUUUUUCCAGCCAGGAACUAGCAGGAUGAGUCACUGCAGUUUGAGUAAUGGAUGUCUCUCAGAACAAGAUAGAACCGUGCAACCUACAUGAGAUGUUUGUGUUUAUCUUUCUGUCUGUAUAGUUUCUCAGUAAUCGUGGCAGAGAGGGUACUAGCAAAGAGAACAAGAAGACCAGGAGACCUCACAGACUGCUGUGGAGACAACCUUUAGCAUGGUGAUACAGUUGUAUUUCAUCUGGAAACGUGACUGAACAGGCUACCUGGGUCUCGGCCCACAGAAGAUGGAAGGAAUGCUGUACUGGAGCAAAGCCAGUGCAAGAACUGUGGUGUUUGCAAAACUGGAAAGUGUUGGCAACACAGUGCACCACGAGAAGCAAGGAAAUAAUGGAAGCAAGAGUUGUAAUGUUGUUCUUUCACUUCUGUUGCUGCUAUUGGUGGUUUUUGGUUUGUUAUGUUUUAAUUAAAAAUUUCAUCAUAU
rnacentral:lncRNA from 1 species